GGGGUUGACUGGAUUUGACAGCAGGUAGAACUGAUAUGUAAGCAUGCAGAGCUUUGUAAGUGGGCUCUAUAAUAUGAACUUUCAAAAUUAUAACUGGCGAAAAUAACUACGCUCUUGCUGCUUAGUCGAAUUAUAGUAGACUAACUUUAUUUUAGUACAAGGUACUAAAACGAGACAUCUCCCAAAUGCCGCUGUUCUGAGGCUUUUUGAACAUGGAGGUGCGGAAAUAUCAGAACUCGCCUACUUCGGCUUCGCGUUGCAGGUAAAAAACAGAAGAUAAGGAUGUAAUUGGUAGUUUGGGUCUUGUUACAUCUCGAAAAUUUAAGCCAAAAUAAGCAUGUAGAAAGCGUAUUAUUUCCUUGUUUGGACGAGGGUUCGAUACCCUCCAGCUCCAC
rnacentral:tmRNA from 1 species